UGAAUUAUGCUUCAAUGAACGGAAUUUUAUUGAUUACUAUAGAUCUAUCGCCUAUUUAGUUCAAAAUAGAUUACGUUGAAGAUUGAGAAUAAAAUGGCUAAUUCUAUUCACAUAUCUAAUGCUAGUUCCCACAAUGUUUACGUGAAAGUACUUUGUGAUACAGCAUACCGACAAACUUCGAAUAUUGGAGUUGGUGCCACCGCUGGCUCAUUUGGUGGAAUUGAGAUACAUGCAGAUGAAGAAAAAAAAUGGAGCUUAGCGGAUAAAGUCGGAUACACUACUGUGAAUAGAUAUUCUUCUAUGCAAUUCUAUCCAGAUUCAUCAAAAGAAGUCUGCUACGUGACAAUAAAAGUCAAAACAGAAAAAUAUCUUUGUGAAAAUCAUCCUUUGGGUCUAAAAUGCGGAUUAAUUAUCGACAGUUCCUGCUAUAUGCACAGUGCAAAAAAAGGUUUAUAUUGGACAGACAUUGAUGGAAUAUGUCAUAAACCAGAUCUAAAAAACAAGAGAAAUCUACCGAAAGAUUUAGAAUGUUCUCUCUUCCUUAAUUGAGAGGUGCCUUUGGAAUAAAAAAAAAACUAUACAUUCCGAAAUGAUUUUCUGAUAAUAUGAUUUGAAUAUGUGAAUCUGGUUUAGACUCUUUUUAAUUAUUGUACAAAUUAUUGCUUGCCGUUGAAAAGGGAAUAGUCUUAAUAUUAUAGUAAUUUCCGGAUAUCUGCACUAACAAAGUGUACAAUACCCCGGGUCAAUUUCCGUAGACUAGGAAAAUAUUUAAAAAAAAACCUUCACCGAGUACUGCUGUUUGUCUUAUGUACUCAGAGAAAAUUCAUGGUGUAAACACAGUAAUUCUUGUCAAAGUGUAUUGCUGAACCUAAGAAUACACUUUCAUCGAUUUUAUCCAUUUUGAAACACCAAACGCAUGUAAAGGUUUCCACGGGGAAAAUAUGAUUAGUCUUAGCGCACGCAAAAAUUAUGAUACGCAUACGCUGUGUUGUUUACCUUCAGCUGUACUUUAUUUUUGUCUAUUGUUUAAGUUGAGCUACUGUUUAAAGAGGCCAACACGUAGGACGAAUUUUAAUGUAAAGAAAAUUUAUUCACAAAACAAUUUGCACACUUGUUUUUAUUAAAGUUUGUAUUUGUUUGCUUUCUUCACCUUUUUUGACGUGUUCAAUAAUGUUUUAAGUAAGAUACAAGCCUCUGACAGUCCAUUCUGUAAAAUAUUAGACAGGUCUUCGGCCUGCAGCCUCAGACUUGUCUAAUAUUUUACAGUAUGGACUUUUAUCGGCUAAUAUCCCUUACAGGAAUAAAGAUCUUUGUCAGGUAGUUGCUAAAACCUUUUUCAGUAUUUAAUAUAGAAAAACAACGUUCUUGUGUAUAUGUAGCUGGUGGUGCAAUUUAAAUCUGAAAUAUAUCUGUUCUGUAUAGUAGUGUAAAUAAGAUGUGAAAUAUUGUAUAUAUAUAGAUUCAUUGCAUCGAGUGUGAUACGAUAUUUAUCCACUCGAGACAGUUAAAUCUUCAAAUUUAAAACGCGAGGCUCGUCGAGCGUUUUAAAUGUUUAAAAUUUAACUGUCGAGAGUGGAUUUUUGCACGAGAUUUGGUAGUGGAAUCUGUUUCUCUAAUGAUUUUUAAACGAUAUUCAGAUAAUUUUAAUCCUUCGUUUAGAGCGACCUGCAAAAAGAUGUGUUCUCUUCGUCACGAUGGGAAUUUCAGAGGAAAGCAAGAAAAUUUGACGUCAUAAUCGAAUUUUGACCAAUGAAGAACUGAGAUCAAACGAACCACACGUUGAUUAAAUGAAAAUAAUCAACAGGUCAGGAAAAGGACAAAUCGAAUAAGAAUUAGAGAAUAAUAAUUCUUUUACUAGUCUCUUAUAAUUCUUAAUAGACUUGCACUUUUAUACGUUUUUUUGUUUUGCAUUGAAGAUAAUGAUACCUUAAACGGUUAGUUUUAACAUAUACUUUGUGUGAUAUAUUAUAUACGUGCAGUGUGCAAAUUUUUUUAUUAUACAAGUGAUGAGGCUUUUAUAAAAUAUUGAAUAAGAAUCUAGUAUUAUAUGUUUGGAAAUAAAGAUUGAUUGAU